rnacentral:lncRNA from 1 species
UCCACGAAACCCUAGCAAAGGGCAUAUAUACCCUCCGGCUUGGGCCUCCGCUCCGCUUCGUCAGAAGCCCGGCCAAUAUCUUGAAGUGAAUUUGGAACAACUCCAACACGGUACUAUGAAAGAAAAAAAAAUUUCCUUAGGACUGAAACUUCCGAAAUUUCACAAAAAAACUAAUAUCUAGGGGAAGAACUAUUAAUUUACAAAACAAAAAAAGGAAACUUUUGGCCGGAAGAAUUUCGUUGCACAGAACUUGUAAAGAACAAAAAUUUCCGAAAAUUUCAAUCCCAAAUAACAAAUACAAAAUACCAUUUCCUGGUAAAAAGAACUCAAUUCAGAAAAAAAAAGAGGAGGCAAAACAAAACGUGAGAGUGGCUUUACUGGAUUUAGCAACGUAGGUUGGUAAAGAGUGGCGCAGUUUGAACUGAUCGAGCUGGAGAAAGGCUCCAAAGGGAAAAAGGAGCAAGAGAAGCCGG